rnacentral:rRNA from 1 species
UCAAUUGUUUUAUAAUUGAAGACUAGAAUGAAUGGUAGAAUGAAAUAAAAACUGUCUUGUUUAUAUUUAUUAGAAGUUGUCUUUUAGAUGAAGAGGUUUAAAUGUGAUUGAUAGACAAGAAGACCCUAUUGAGCUUAAAAUUGUUUUAAAGAUAUAUUUUAUUUAUGUAAAUAUAAGGUUUAAUUUUUUUUUGGUUGGGGCGACUGGGGAAUAGUAAAAGCUUCCCUUAUGUGUAAAGAUUAUUGAAUAUUUGAUCCAAUAAUGAUUGAUUAAAAGAGAUAGUUACCGUAGGGAUAACAGCAUAAUCUUCUUUGAGAGUUCAUAUCGAAGAGAGGGGUUGUGACCUCGAUGUUGGACUAAAAUAUCCUAUAAAUGCA